UGAGCCAGACAUGGUCCCCGUUCCUCUGAGGGCCAGAGGCAGGUUCUGCAGCUGCCUGCUGCCCUGACUAUGUUCUUGUUACUAAUUAAAGGUAGUGGCUGUGAAUUCAGUGUGAUACACAAUAAGUAUUCAUCACGUAAGCCUGGGUGACCUGGAUCUGCCUGCUGUGGAUCCUGUUUCCCUCUGCCUGGCUCCUUUGCAAAUUGCAUCUGGAGUGGUGGCCCUGAAUACACUCCUUGUACGCAUGUCCAAAUGCUGCUGUGUCUUCAGAACCAGGACACCUGCAGUAUUACCAACAGGUGCCAGUGACUUCUGGAAAACACAUGACUGUAGGUUCAUGGCCCUCACACUCUGCCUACAACCCUUCUUCUUCAGCCAAUCUCUUCAUGUCUCAUUUUGUGUGUAGUUCAACAACUUUAAUAAGACUUGCUUGUUUAAAGGUGCACACACUGAACCCUGGGCAGGAGAGGAUGCCCCGAGAUGUAAUCUAAGUGGCUUCCAAAGGCAAGGCAUACAUACUCUCUUGGCUCCCUCAUUCCUCCCUGUUAGCCUGCUCUAAAGACCUUCCUUUCUGAAGAAAACUCCCCAUAUAACGCAUCAAGCACUUCAGAUGAUGAAGAUGUCUCCAAGUGCCUCAUGAGAAAGAGUCUUGCUGGAGAAGGUUCAGAGGUUCAGUCCAUUAUCAUCGGAGCAGGAAACAUGGCAUCAUCCAGGCAGACAUGGUGCACAAGGAGCUGAUGUCAUUAUAUCACCCACAGACUGGCCUAGAACAGACAGAGACAUGAGGACCCUCCAUGAGACACAGCACAUGUAGGCCUUAGACACCUGCUUGCUGCCAAGUCACACAGCCAAGACAGAGGAUGUCACUCAGGGUCCUGCCAGUUGUGUAACCAGUCUGCAGCAGAAAGUUCCAGAAUGUGUAAGCAUGUGGUGGACAGGACUGGUUAUUCAGGGGGAUGAUCUAUCUAUGGAGAUAAGAGGACAGUUGAUGGAUUUCUGGCCACUGGCUGCAGGCAAGGUUGGCUUGAAGUGAGGCUGCCUGGGUGUGUGCCCCUGCAGGAAAAGCAGGAGGAAGGAGCCAGGCAAAGAGGACAGCCCUGUGUGGGAAGAUGUGUCACUGGUCAUUCUUUACAAAGAAAAUAAAAAUGAGAUUUCUUGUUGG
rnacentral:lncRNA from 1 species